CCUANGGGUGGCUGCAGUGAGGAAUAUUGCGCAAUGUCCGAAAGGGUGACGCAGCGACGCCGCGUGGAGGAUGAAGGCCCUAUGGGUCGUAAACUCCUUUUGAGGGGGAAGAAUAGUCUCGUAUAGCGAGAUUUGACGGUACCCCUAGAAAAAGCACCGGCCAACUACGUGCCAGCAGCCGCGGUAAUACGUAGGGUGCAAGCGUUGUCCGGAAUUACUGGGUGUAAAGGGAGCGCAGGCGGGUUGACAAGUCGUUGGUGAAAUUCUGAGGCUCAACCUCAGAACUGCCAAUGAUACUGCCGAUCUUGAGUACAGAAGAGGAAGACGGAAUUCCUGGUGUAGCGGUGAAAUGCGUAGAUAUCAGGAAGAACACCGGUGGCGAAGGCGGUCUUCUGGUCUGUAACUGACGCUAAUGCUCGAAAGCGUGGGGAGCAAACAGGAUUAGAUACCCCUNUANUC
rnacentral:rRNA from 1 species